UAAUACGGGGGGAGCAAGCGUUGUUCGGAUUUACUGGGCGUAGAGGGCGCGUAGGCGGCCAGCACAAGUCAGUUGUGAAAUCUCCGAGCUUAACUCGGAACGGUCAACUGAUACUGUGCGGCUAGAGUGCGGAAGGGGCAACUGGAAUUCUUGGUGUAGCGGUGAAAUGCGUAGAUAUCAAGAGGAACACCUGCGGCGAAGGCGGGUUGCUGGGCCGACACUGACGCUGAGGCGCGAAAGCUAGGGGAGCGAACG
rnacentral:rRNA from 1 species